rnacentral:rRNA from 1 species
UACGGAGGGGGCUAGCGUUGUUCGGAAUUACUGGGCGUAAAGCGCACGUAGGCGGACUGUUAAGUCGGGGGUGAAAUCCUGGAGCUCAACUCCAGAACUGCCUUUGAUACUGGGAGUCUCGAGUCCGGGAGAGGUGAGUGGAACUGCGAGUGUAGAGGUGAAAUUCGUAGAUAUUCGCAAGAACACCAGUGGCGAAGGCGGCUCACUGGCCCGGUACUGACGCUGAGGUGCGAAAGCGUGGGGGGCAAACAGG